GUGCAAUGCAGUGCAGGGCUGCAUGUCCCAGUGCCAGUGCAGUGCAGUGCUGCAUGGCCCAGGGUCGCUGCUGCAUUGUGCAGUGCUGCAUGUCCAGGUGUCAGUGCUUUGCAGUGCUGCAUGUCCCGGGGUCAGAGUUGUGCAGUGCAGUGCUGCGUGUCCAGGUGUCACUGCUGCAUGGUGCAGCGCUGCAUGGUGUGGUAUCGGAGCUGUGCACUGCAGUUGUGCAUGGCCCGGGGUCGCCGCUGCAUUGUGCAGUGCUGCACAUCCAGGUGUCAGUGCUCUGCAGUGCUGCAUGGCUUGGGGGCACCGCUGCACUGGCAUGCAGCGUUGUGCAGUGCUGCAUGUCCCAGUGCUGCAGCUGCACCGUGCAGUGCUGCAUGUCCCACUGUCAGUGCAGUGCAGUGCUGCGUGUCCUGGUGUCACUGCUGCAUUGUGCAGUGCUGCAUGUCCAGGUGUCAUUGCUUUGCAGUGCUGCAUGGCUUGGGGGCACCGCUGCGCUGGCAUGCAGCGUUGUGCAGUGCUGCGUGUCCCAGGGUCAGAGUUGUGCAGUGCAGUGCUGCGUGUCCAGGUGUCACUGCUGCAUGGUGCAGCGCUGCAUGUCGUGGUAUCGGAGCUGUGCACUGCAGUUGUGCAUGGCCCGGGGUCGCCGCUGCAUUGUGCAGUGCUGCAUGUCCAGGUGUCAGUGCUUUGCAGCGCUGCAUGGCCUGGGGGCACCGCUGCGCUGCCAUGCAGCGUUGUGCAGUGCUGCAUGUCCCAGUGUCUGUGCUUUGCGGUGCAGUGCCGUGCAGUGCUGCAUGUCCCAGUGUCUGUGCUUUGCAGUGCUGCAUGGCCCCGGGUUGCCGCUGCACUGUGCAGUGCUGCAUGUCCCAGUGCCAGCACUUUGCAGUGCAGUGCAGGGCUGCAUGUCCCAGUGCCAGUGCAGU
rnacentral:lncRNA from 1 species